UCAAGAGUAGUCUACACCAGAUAUCUGAUUUCGACUCAGAAGACCUUGAUCUCAAGCUCUUGUA
rnacentral:tRNA from 1 species